AUUGAACGCUGGCGGCAGGCCUAACACAUGCAAGUCGAGCGAGCGGCGGACGGGUGAGUAAUGUAUGGGGACUGCCCGAUAGAGGGGGAUAACUACUGGAAAAGGUGGCUAAUACCGCAUACUAUGCGAUGGCCCAUAUGGGAUUAGCUAGUCGGUGGGGUAAAGGCUCACCGAGGCGACGAUCCCUAGCUGGUCUGAGAGGAUGAUCAGCCACACUGGGACUGAGACACGGCCCAGACUCCUACGGAGGCAGCAGUGGGGAAUAUUGGACAAUGGGCGCAAGCCUGAUGCAGCAAUGCCGCGUGUAUGAAGAAGGCCUUAGGGUUGUAAAGUACUUUCAGCGGAGAGGCGUUACCUGCAGAAGAAGCACCGGCUAACUCCGUGCCAGCAGCCGCGGUAAUUC
rnacentral:rRNA from 1 species